rnacentral:rRNA from 1 species
AUUGAACGCUGGCGGCAGGCCUAACACAUGCAAGUCGAACGGUAGCACAGAGGAGCUUGCUCCUUGGGUGACGAGUGGCGGACGGGUGAGUAAUGUCUGGGAAACUGCCCGAUGGAGGGGGAUAACUACUGGAAACGGUAGCUAAUACCGCAUAACGUCUUCGGACCAAAGUGGGGGACCUUCGGGCCUCACACCAUCGGAUGUGCCCAGAUGGGAUUAGCUAGUAGGUGGGGUAAUGGCUCACCUAGGCGACGAUCCCUAGCUGGUCUGAGAGGAUGACCAGCCACACUGGAACUGAGACACGGUCCAGACUCCUACGGGAGGCAGCAGUGGGGAAUAUUGCACAAUGGGCGCAAGCCUGAUGCAGCCAUGCCGCGUGUAUGAAGAAGGCCUUCGGGUUGUAAAGUACUUUCAGCGGGGAGGAAGGCGUUAAGGUUAAUAACCUUGGCGAUUGACGUUACCCGCAGAAGAAGCACCGGCUAACUCCGUGCCAGCAGCCGCUGUAA